rnacentral:rRNA from 1 species
GUUGCUAACGCGUGAAGGCGAGCACUCUAGACGAACUGCCGUUGACAAAACGGAGGAAGGUGGGGAUGACGUCAAAUCAUCAUGCCCCUUAUGUUCUGGGCUACACACGUGCUACAAUGGCCGGUACAGACGGACGCAAAGCCGCGAGGUGGAGCAAAUCCUAAAAAGCCGGUCUCAGUUCGGAUUGCAGGCUGCAAUUCGCCUGCAUGAAGUCGGAAUCGCUAGUAAUCGCAGGUCAGCAUACUGCGGUGAAUACGUUCCCGGGCCUU